GCUAGUAAUCGCGGAUCAGCAUGCCGCGGUGAAUACGUUCCCGGGCCUUGUACACACCGCCCGUCACACCAUGGGAGCCGGUAAUACCCGAAGUCAGUAGUCCAACCUCGUGAGGACGCUGCCGAAGGUAGGAUUGGCGACUGGGGUGAAGUCGUAACAAGGUACC
rnacentral:rRNA from 1 species